rnacentral:rRNA from 1 species
AGCGAACGCUGGCGGCAGGCCUAAUACAUGCAAGUCGAACGGUCUCUUCGGAGGCAGUGGCGGACGGGUGAGUAACGCGUGGGAACGUGCCCUUUGGUACGGAACAACUGAGGGAAACUUCAGCUAAUACCGUAUGUGCCCCUUCGGGGGAAAGGAUUUAUCGCCAUUGGAGCGGCCCGCGUUGGAUUAGCUAGUUGGUGGGGUAAUGGCCCACCAAGGCGACGAUCCAUAGCUGGUCUGAGAGGAUGAUCAGCCACACUGGGACUGAGACACGGCCCAGACUCCUACGGGAGGCAGCAGUAGGGAAUCUUGCGCAAUGGGCGAAAGCCUGACGCAGCCAUGCCGCGUGAAUGAUGAAGGUCUUAGGAUUGUAAAAUUCUUUCACCGGGGACGAUAAUGACGGUACCCGGAGAAGAAGCCCCGGCUAACUUCGUGCCAGCAGCCGCGGU